UCCGAGUUGACCCCGGCAGUCUCCUACGAGUCCCCGGCAUUACCCGCUGGCAACAUAGGACAAGGGUUGCGCUCGUUGCGGGACUUAACCCAACAUCUCACGACACGAGCUGACGACAGCCAUGCACCACCUGUGCAGAGCCCUUGCGGACCCGACAUCUCUGCCGGAUUUCUCUGCAUGUCAAGCCCAGGUAAGGUUCUUCGCGUUGCAUCGAAUUAAUCCGCAUGCUCCGCCGCUUGUGCGGCCCCCCGUCAAUUCCUUUGAGUUUUAGCCUUGCGGCCGUACUCCCCAGGCGGGGCACUUAAUGCGUUAGCUUCGGCACGGAGGACGUGGAAUGUUCCCCACACCUAGUGUCCAACGUUUACGGCGUGGACUAC
rnacentral:misc_RNA from 1 species